rnacentral:misc_RNA from 1 species
GAUGAAGAACGUAGCGAAAUGCGAUAAGUAAUGCGAAUUGCAGAUUUCAGUGAAUCAUCGAAUCUUUGAACGCACAUUGCGCCCGCCAGUAUUCUGGCGGGCAUGCCUGUUCGAGCGUCAUUUCAACCCUCAGGCCCCCAGUGCCUGGUGUUGGGGAUCGGCCCAGCCUUCCUGUAAGGCCGCCGGCCCCGAAAUCUAGUGGCGGUCUCGCUGUAGUCCUCCUCUGCGUAGUAGCACAACCUCGCAGUUGGAACGCGGCGGUGGCCAUGCCGUUAAACACCCCACUUCUGAAAGUUGACCUCGGAUCAGGUAGGAAUACCCGCUGAACUUAAGCAUAUCAAUAAGCGGAGGA